rnacentral:lncRNA from 1 species
AUAUUGCCACCUACCUCUUACAUCUUUUAGUGCAACCAGAGGAAGAGAUCAUUGCCGAGGACUAUGACGAUGAUCCUGUGGACUACGAGGCCACCAGGUUGGAGGGCCUACCACCAAGCUGGUACAAGGUGUUCGACCCUUCCUGCGGGCUCCCUUACUACUGGAAUGCAGACACAGACCUUGUAUCCUGGCUCUCCCCACAUGACCCCAACUCCGUGGUUACCAAAUCGGCCAAGAAGCUCAGAAGCAGUAAUGCAGCAGUAAGCCGAAAGGAUGAAGAGUUAGACCCCAUGGACCCUAGCUCAUACUCAGACGCCCCCCGGGGCACGUGGUCAACAGGACUCCCCAAGCGGAAUGAGGCCAAGACUGGCGCUGACACCACAGCAGCUGGGCCCCUCUUCCAGCAGCGGCCGUAUCCAUCCCCAGGGGCUGUGCUCCGGGCCAAUGCAGA